GUUUUAGUGGCAGAAUAGUGCAUUAGAUUUAAAAUUUAAACAAGAUAUUUAUAUCCUAAAACA
rnacentral:tRNA from 1 species